GGCAGCAUGGUGUAUUGGUUUGAUUGUUGGACUACAAUUCUGAAGACCAGAGUUCAAAUCCCUGCUCAGCCA